CAUGCAGACUGAGAGGAAAUCCAAAGUUCAGGGUGUUUUAAUCCAGUCAGGGUCGGUACACAAAGGGCAGUCAGCACAGGCAGAGGUAUCCAAAUCAACAGGCAUAAACUCACUGGUCUAAAUACCAACAGGUCAAUCUCAUGAGGAGGACACACUGGGAAGAACACUGGGAAGCUCACACGCAGGACAAGACGAUGGAGCAGAGAACAAAGGGAAGACUCAGACUUAUAUACACUCUGACAGGGGAGAUAAUGACACACAGGUGAAAGCAAUCAGACAGGUCAGAUCACUGCAAACAAAGCACAUGAAGAGUUUAUUUAUUAGACCUUGUUAUACAGUAAACUACCCAGCUGUUGAUAUCAGCAGAUUUAAAGAUUAGUCGAUUAAUGAAAUACUCCUAAUGUGAUUGUGAGUUUUAAUCUGCUUUGGUUUUUAAUACUUUAAUUAUACAAAUGGGCUUCAAAGUGCAGGUACAAACACUGGCUGAGGGCUGACUUAUAACAGAAACUCUACACUGAGGACAGUCUGAGAGGGCUGCACAGAAAAUAUAACAGUAUGAUCAUACAGACCUUAUAUAGUGUUUUCAUAUUAUGGUGUUUUGCAUUCUUACCUUAAGAUUCUUAUCAUGAAUUUGUAUAUUUAAUUGUUCUGUUUCUCUUCAUGCCUUUAAGUAUUUUCUUUGUCUAUGAGGCACUUUGAGCUGCAAUCCAUGUAUAAAAAGUUCUAUAUAAAUAAAAUGUGUUAUUAUUAUUAUAGUCUGUAUCCUUAACAUACAUCCUGACAUACCAUCAUUUAUCAUAUUUGUAAUAUGUUCUGAUUCUAUAUUAUAUUUGUAUAACGUCUCUAAAUUAAUGCAGACAUACACCAGCUACCACUUCUUUAUCAUAUCAUCAGUCUGGUGCAAUGUUCCCUCUAAUUUUGAAAACUCCCGAGCAGACAUUCAACUCCUCUGAUCACCUACUUGAGCGACUGUGGGCAACAUCUGACGCGUACACACUACAUCCACAUAGGGGUGCCAUGGCAUCACCUCUCCAACCCCAAAUAUCAUUACAAGUGAAUAUUACUGGAAAGAUUAAUAAUAAGAUUAUUUUAACAACAUGAACUACUGAAUAUCUAGGUCAGUUACAAUUAACAAAAACAAAACAUUGUUUUGGCAAAAUAGAUUUUGCAUUUAUUGCCAUAAUGUGAACAAUUAAGAGAAGAAUGUGCUCCAUAAAAGUCACUUGGAGACAAGACACAAACAUUUAAGAGUGAUGGCAACACAAAGAGCAAACAACUCUUUGGAAUACAAAAUAAUUAACACUCUUUAAUAGUAAUUGCCAGCUACUUUAGGCCUCUUAACUGCAACAAAUAUAAUAUGCCAGAUCAAAAACUAAAUGUAAACUUAAAUUGUAGUUGUACUACUACAGACAGUACCACUGUACUGGAUGAAAACAUUUUCCUGGCAAAAAAUAUCAGUGGCCAGCAGUGCAAUGAGUGCAUGUAAACAUACACUGUAAACAAAAACUGUAGCAGAGCUACCACUGCAGACAGUGCUGUACUGGAGGAAGUUUUACUGGCAAAAUAUAUUGCUGGCCUGGCCAGGUAGUGCAGAAAAAUAUCAGAAUAUGUUUAUGUUGUAAGUGUUUGUGCAUACAUAUUGUGUGUGUGUGUGUGUGUGUGUGUGUGUGUGUGUGUGUGUGUGUGUGUGUGUGUGUGUGUGUGUGUAAACUCGCCUUGUACUUUUGCUUCACGUCUUGCACGUAGAGAUGUACAUUCCCGAUACCGAUUCCGAUCCCUGAACCUUAGGUAUCUGCCGAUACCGAGUACCAAUCCGAUACCAGCGCGUAAAAUAAAAAUGGAUGGGUUAUGAAUUGUUGUAUGUCUCAGUUCCUAAAACUCAAUGUAAAAUAUUAAGAAAUAAAUACAUAAUAGUAGAUGAAUGCCAUAAAACAUUUUUUAUGAUUAUUAUCCAGUGUUGACACAGAUCAAGACACAGGUUAAAGUGCAGCCACACAAUUUGGUAAAAAAGACAUUUUAAAGGCUACAGUAGAAUGCUUUUUAAACUCCGCUCUGUUUCCGUUUCGUUUGCCUGUAGCGUGCGUAUGCGUAAUGACAUGAGGCAUUACGUGGUAUCAGAUUAGUCAUAGGAUGUACUUGCCGAUACCCGAUACCGCAUUUUAGGCAGUAUUGGAGGCGUUUCCGAUACUGGUAUCGAUAUCAGUACAACUCUACUUGCACGUCUCGCAAACAACUCCAUUCUCGCUUGAAGAAGAAAAAAUAUCGCCGAGUUUCACUGGUGGCGUACGUUCGUCUGACGGCCACUCCACCUUAAACGACACGCGAUUUUUCUUAAGAUUUCCAGAGGACGAAGCACCACAUCCCACACAUUUAGCCAUAGCUACGAUGCUAUGGCUAACGGCUAACAACAAAUACGACAGCAGCGAAUACCCAACAUAAUGCCAUUGAUUGGCUGUCAAGCUAAAAAACCGUUAGAGAUAUUGGCUGGGCAGUGCCUGGUGGGCAUGUUUGUGUAAUCAUCACUGACUGACAGUUCACUGUCAUCUGAUCUGUCACUCACUGCACAGACAAACACCCACUGUGGAGUACGUAUUUACUGUUCAAGUCGCAUAUGGGAAAAAAAAUAAAAAUAAAACAGUAAAAAGUGGUCGGGGAUAUUUGAGCGCGCAACUUUUUUGUCAUCUGCGCAAAGAGGUGGGGAGCAGUGCGCAAUUGCGCAGUAAAACAGCUUAGAGGGAACAGUGGUCUGAUGUACACUGCAGUUAGCAGAACAUGGCUGACCCUCAUAUUAGUGAUCUUGACCUGUACAUGAUACUGACAUGG